GCCCCACCCAUUAGGGCUGAGAAGCCCCAGGCCAAACAAUAAUCCAGGUGGGAUCACAGCCCCACCCAUCAGUAAACAGGCUGCCUAAAGACCCCUCAGGCACACAGCUGCCUCUAAUUCCAUCCAGAGACUAAGCCCCACCCACCAGAGGGGUUAGAAUCAGCUCCACCUACCAGUGGGCAGGCAUCAGGCCCUCCCACUAGGAAGCCUACAGCAAGCCCCCCAUACUGACUUCAGCCACAAGGGAGGCAGACAUCAGAAGUAAGAGAGGAUACAACUCUAUUAUCUAUAAAAAGAUCACCAGGCUAAAAACCUAUAAAAAUGAAAAGACAGAGAACUAUAACUCAGAUGAGGGAGAAAGGAAAAACCCCAGAAAAUCAGCUAAGCAAUGAGGAGAUUCUCAGCAUACAGGAAAAAGACUUUAGAUUGUUGAUGCUGAAGAUGAUGCAAGACAUUGGAAAUAAACUGGAGGCAAAGAUAGCUAACUUACAGGAAACACUGAGCAAAGAGAUACAAGAUAUAAAGCUUAAACAAGAAGAGAUGCAAAAUACAAUCACUGAAAUAAAAAAUUCACUAGAAGCCGCUAACAGCAGAAUACAAGAGGCAGAAGAACGAAUAAACAAGGUGGAAGACAGAUUAGUGGAAAUUAUGGAUGUGGAAUAUAAAAGAGAAAAAAGAUUGAAAACAAAUGAAGAGAGUCUCAGAGAACUCUGGGACAACAUUAAACGCACCAACAUCUGCAUUGUAGGGGUGCCAGAAGAAGAGAGAGAGAAGGGGACAAAAAAAUAUUUCAAGAGAUAAUAGGCAAAAACUUCCCUAACAUAGGAAAGGAACCACUCACUCAAAUCCAGGAAGCACAACGAGUACCAUAUAAAAUAAACCCAAGGAGGAACACCCUGAGACACAUAUUAAUGAAACUGACCAAAAUUAAAGACAAAGAGAAAAUCUUGAAAGCAGCUAGGGAAAAGAAACAAGUAACAUACAAGGGAACCCCAAUAAGGUUAUUGGCAGAUUUUUCAGCAGAAACUCUGCAGGCCAGAAGGGAGUGGCAUGAUAUACUUAACAUGAUGAAAGGAAAAAACCUCCUACCAAGAUUACUCUACCCAGCAAGGCUAUCAUUUAGAUUUGAAGGAGAAAUCAAAACCUUCAUAGAUAAGCAAAAGAUGAGAGAAUUCAGCAACACUAAACCAGCCUUACAACAAAUACUAAAGGAACUUCUCUAGGCAGAAAAGAAAAG
rnacentral:lncRNA from 1 species